rnacentral:rRNA from 1 species
AGAGAACUCAAUUAAAUUUUAUUGGUUAGUGGUUAAAUGUACUGUUAUUAUAAUUAACUAUAGUUUUUUUAGGUGAAAUUUUAAAACUUAAAUAGUUAUAUUUUAAGGUUAUUGAAGCCAUAAAAUUUUUAAUUUAAACUAGGAUUAGAUACCCUAUUAUUAAAAAUGUACCCUUUUAUACCUGAGUAGUAGUAGUUAUGGUCUUGAAACUUUAAAAAUUUGGCGGUAUUCUAGUCUAUUUAGAGGAACCUGUUGAGUAAUCGAUAGUCCACGAUGGACCUUACUUAAAUUUGUUUAGCCAAUUUGUAUACCGCCGUUAUUGAAUAUUUCUUUAGAAUUAUAAUUUUCUGUAAUUUGAAUGUAAAAUUUAUGUCAGGUCAAGGUGCAGUUUAUGUUUAAGUUUUAAUGGGUUACAAUAAAUUUAUUUAUUGCGGAUUUUUAGUUGUAAUUCUGGGAUGAAGAUGGAUUUAAUAGUAAAAUUGUCUAUACUAUCAAUUUGAUUAUAGCUCUAGAAUAUGCACACAUCGCCCGUCGCUCUUGUUAUUAAGACAAGA